rnacentral:rRNA from 1 species
CUCAGAAACUUAAAGGAAUUGACGGGGCCGCACAAGCGGUGGAGUAUGUGGUUUAAUUCGAUGCAACGCGAAGAACCUUACCUGGUCUUGACAUCCCGGAGACCCUUAGGAAACUAGGGGUGCUUCCAUCUGGAAGAAUCUGGAGACAGGUGCUGCAUGGCUGUCGUCAGCUCGUGUCGUGAGAUGUUGGGUUAAGUCCCGCAACGAGCGCAACCCUUGCCUUUAGUUGCCAGCAGUUCGGCUGGGCACUCUAAAGGGACUGCCGGUGUUAAACCGGAGGAAGGUGGGGAUGACGUCAAGUCCUCAUGGCCUUUAUGACCAGGGCUACACACGUACUACAAUGGCCGAUACAAAGGGCAGCGACACUGCGAGGUGAAGCCAAUCCCGUAAAAUCGGUCUCAGUCCGGAUUGGAGUCUGCAACUCGACUCCAUGAAGUUGGAAUCGCUAGUAAUCGUGGAUCAGCAUGCCACGGUGAAUACGUUCCCGGGCCUU